AAUAGCUAAGAUAUCAUUAAAUGGUACCACAAUUUAUUAUCGUUUUGGAUACCUGAUACGUGCUUGGGAGUGCAUCCACGCUUCGUGGGGUCACCAAGUGGUGACCUUCCUUUUGCUGCUCCCGUUGCUGUCGCUUCUGUGCUUGCCACUGGAUUGUUGAUGGUUGAGUGUUGUUUUUGGACGUGCUGCCACCAACGAAAUUUCAGCUGUGGAUCUUUCGCCGUUUUCAUCGUAAUUUAUCGACUCGGAUGCUACGUGAGUGUUAUUGAAAAUGGUCAUUUCGCUGGCGUUGCUCGUACUGUCGGCACCUCCAGGCACCCCCUCGAUAAGGCUGGCCCACCUCCGCCUCCGCCUCCGCCUCCACCUCCAGCUCCCCCAUGCGAUGGCUGGGUUUUCGAGUUUAAUGUAUUCAAACAUUGAACUUUUAUGCGCUGGGCAAGUGGCCAUAAUGAUGAUGAGGAAGGGGAGGGCGUGGUCGCAACGGUUGUUGAUGGCGAUUACGCCUCCCAGGCGGAUUUUUGCAUUAUUGAUUUGUAAACACUGCGUUCAGACUCUGUGCGAAGCCUCAAGGAAAAUGUACGAGCGCCCAGAUAAAAUUAAAUUAUAAUUCGCAUGCAAACGGCGAGGCAUAAGUAUGCGAACAACAGAAAAUAUGUUAACAAGAUCUAUACUAUGUGGCCGAACGGAAUUAUAACUAUUCGGGGGCUCAGAUCGUGGCCGUUGAAAACGCUGUCAAACUUACAUUUUUUAUACACUUUUUACAGCCCCCAUAAAUUGCCGUGUUUUAUGGUUUUUUUGGUUAGCCUCACAGUAAAUAUUCAGUUGCGUUUCCUUUUUCACUUGCUUUGUUAGACAAGAACUUUGCACAUGGGUGUGGUGGUACUGACAGAAUCACAAAGAAGUUAAUUAAUUUUCGAAACCGCCAACAGCUAAAGGCCAACUUAGUGCGCAAUAAAUGGUAAACUGUCUUACUUAAUGUGCUAAAAUGGCUGAAUUUAGAUAUUACUUUCCACGUAGAGCUACGGGGCUCUAGGGCCGCCCCGCCCCGAGACAGACAAUAAAAUGAACCAAAUUACGAGGAACGCUGGACAUUUGCUACGCCACAUUCAUAAAUAACCGAGUGUUUGGCACAUUUUGAUGGAUCGCCAGUCAUUUGUCAUGAUGCCGGGGACGAAAGCCACAACAGAAGAGCCGAAAAUAAACCGGAUUCGAUUCUCCGGCCAGAAGAUCGGGCGCUGAGGACCGGCCUCCCCCAGACGGGCAGCCCAAUUUUCAAUUUUCGGUAGCGAUUCCCAGUCCAGUGCCUAGAUUAAAGGCCCACAACACAGCCAGUUGACAAACAAAAGAGACCCACGAAUGGGCUUUCGCAAGACGCGACUUUUCAUUGAUUGGCGAUAAUUAAUCAAGGGUUGAAGGGGUGCUGACCGCCGGAGGAUGGGCACUUAGCGCCGCCGUGUUAAUGGUCCACUCUAAUGUCGUGCAUUAAUUGCCGCGAUGACUGAUCACUCUCGGAAGGCUGUGCAAAGUCUGGACGGGAUUACGGAUGGCGGAUGGCGGAUGGCGGAUUGCGGACUGCGGAUUACGGAUUGCGUUCAAUGUAACUCUGCCGCUCUGUUAGGGUCCAUCGAUGUCAUUAAAACUCCCCCGAUCCCUGCAGCCGCAGCCCCCAAUUCACGCCAGAUACGAGCAACGAGAUGAAAAUAUCAUCGAAUGAGACAGAGGAGUUGGAUGGAUCGAUGGAUCGGCGGAUCGCGGCGGAUGGAAACCAAUUGCGUCCGGAGCAGAGCGGUCCGCCGGGUGUGGAUGUAUCUGUAUCCGCAGCUAUAUCUGUGUCGGCUUGGCCAAGUGUUAAUUGUUCUUAGCCAUUAUUAAUUGAUUGAAUUAAUGAAUGAAUGGCGGCGGCGAUAACGAAGACGAACCGAAACCGAAACCCAAACCGAAACCCAAAUCGAAUCGAAUGUUGCUGCAGAUGAUGAAAUGCCGAGGAUAGGACAAUAAACAAUGAUUAUGAUACAAUGAUACGAUGAUACGGCGCUCCGAGGCAGUGAACUUGAAAAGGUUAUUAAAAAUUCAAGUGCGGUAGCGGGGCGCUAGGCAAAUACGCGCACUCGCAUACACUCGUCGCCGUCUGACCCACAUGGGUGUCGCUGGAUCGCCCAGAUAAAUGGGCCCACGAACAGAUACAGCCGCCGCUGGGCGCUAGAUUU